GCAGGAAGCUUCUCAAGGAGGAGGUGAUAUCUGUGAGGGCCACCCUGCAGAUGGACCCCCAGGGAGCCCAGGAGAGACAGCAGCAGCAGGGUGUCGUCCCCUUCCUGGGCAUGUUCCUCUAUCACCUCAAGCUGCUGGACAUUGGGAUGGCAGAUGAUCUGGAAGUGAGUGAGCCUGGA